rnacentral:lncRNA from 1 species
CACCAGCCGCGCCCGGCGCCCCCUCUAGUCUGCAGCCGCCCAGCCCCCGCCCCAGGCGGAGCCCCAGCCCGGGCUGCACGCGGGCAGAGAGAGAGAUUGAGCCCCGGCUCCGCCAGCCCAGCUCGGGCCCUGUCCCUCUACCCUUUCCCCAAGCCGCCCGAAGUGACAGGAGGGGCACGCACGGCGCGCGCGGGGCGUCCAGCGUUAACCGCUUCGGCGCCGGGGACGGGAGCGACAGGAGGGCUGGGGAGCAGGGGACCGAGUGCUGGGACUCACCGGAAUGUGCACGCGCAGCGAACGCCUCUUCUGGCUGGCAUUUUUCUUGCCGCCGCUCCCGCCGGGGCUGGAAACAUCUUUUUUCUUCUUGGUGUCCAUAACCGCGCUUCCCAUAACUCUAACCAGAAGUUGAUUCUGGGAAACUCCUCGGGGGUUCGGUCCCCUCCUUCCCUCCCCCGGCCGCUGCCUUCGGACUGGAGCCGCGCGCUCUGUUACACCCUGAAGCCACCUCGUGGGGACUUCCGCGGAGAGGGAGGGUGAGCAGGGAACUCGCGCCGCCGCCGCCGCCGAAGCGCCGAGUUCAAGCGUCCUUUCCUACGGAACCCUCGCAGGCAAAUCAGUCAAAGCCCGUCCCGGUUCUGGUGUCUCCCCGGGUUACUCGUGGCUGAGGUCUCCCGCUGGGUGACAAAGUUUUCUUCCUUUUGCAAAGCGAAGAAACAUUUUCCACCCUCUCGGCUCCUCCCACAGAUUCCCAGAGGUAAUCUGAAAGGCAGGUGCAAUUAAAACCAGCAAUUUGGAAAACAAGCCUCCUAUGCCUGUGCCCAAGUGGGGAAUCUGGAGCCAGUAAGACCGUUCGUGCAUAAAUGUAAUCCUCGGCCGCAGAAUAAACCAGCUCGGAGCCUGCAGCUGGGUCCGUCCUCCUUUCUGGGCGAGAGGGAGGGCGGCGGGGGAAGAGGAGGUGCAAGGCGAGCCCUCUGCGCAAUUGGGCUACGGGCGGCCGCUGGCAGAAGUUCUGGCGGCGGCGCUCGCGGCCCUGCGCGCCGGAGGGGGCGCCCGGAGCCCAGCGGGCCAAGAAGGGCAGGGCGCCCGCUCCUCGCCCCCCGCCGCGCCGCGGCCCCAGGGGACCGCAAGGGGACAGUGAGGGGCCGGGCCUGGCACCGACGCAAGCUCGGGGAGCGCGGGUGGUGGGAGGCGGCGCGUGUUGAACAGGAAGUGCGCGGCGUGCAGCGCCACCGUCCCGCUCCCCGUCGCCCCACGCCGCCCUCGUCGCCGCGCCCAGACCCCCGCGGCGGCCGCAGCCGCUCGGGACUCGCUGCGAGCUGGUUUCGGAGCCAUCCCGCCUCCGGGCGUCUCACUGUGUGCCCUACCCUUUGAAACACGCCCCCGCCCCCGCCCUGCCGCAGACCAGGCAGCGAGGAAGCCCACAGUCUCCGGGGGCGCUGCGCGCGAAGUAGCACGUGCUUCGCGAAACACCGCAGCCCCCGGGUCCCGCCCCGCCCGGUGCGCGCACUCGAACCCGCCCAGAGAGCGGUGCGUGGCGCUGGGUGUGAGCAGGGUCUCGCCACCCCCACCCUCACCCCACCCCACUCCACCCUGCUUUUUUCAGGUUCAUCAAGGUUUGCGCAGUGGAUCCGCGAAUGAAGCCAGCCUGGAAGAUCCCCAUUCUCGAGACAGAGCCUGACAGGGGCAGAUGCUCUGGAAGGACCCUGUCUGGGUUUAGCAACCAAGCAGCCAUCCUGGCCCCACAGGUGUGGGACCAGCAACCAAGCAGCCAUCCUGGCCCCACAGGUGUGGGACUUCUGGGUCUUCUCCUGGCUGGCUUCUUGCUAGAGGACUUCAAGAGACCCAGCAAGACUGUAUUGUCCCACUGAAUGCUCAAAAUAUUGGUUAGAAGUAGAAAAGGGGAGGGGGUAGUAUUUAGCCUCUGUCCCCACUAAAAAUUAUUCCCAAUUGUCAUUUGUGUCAUCUGUUUAGCUUACAGUUUUAAUCCUUGUCAAAAUGAUCAUUUGCCAGGGUGCAUAAAACACCCUAUUUGAUGAGAACUGGUUUUAAAGGAAAAUGGGGCCAUCAGAAGGAAGCCGGUUGGUGUGAAGAGACGUCUGGGAAGAGCCCCUGGCGAGGGCCCUCAUUCCACUGGGCGACCCAGAAGGAGAAAACCGCGAUGGCGCUUCUCAUUUGAAAUGUUUUCUUUAUGGACAGUGUUUAGCAAUUGUUAUAACGUGUAUUUUUGUUGAUUGAUCUGUAUACAUAUGUAAAAUAAUUUGUUCUCUGAGUUAAUUUUGUUGGAACAAAGACUUUCGUGCUUCCUAAAUUAAAACAUUUUACUGUAUUGCCUGCAUUUUAAGAGCCUUUUUUUAAUUUUUAAUUUUUUUGGUCCUUGUGACAUGAUGAGGUAUAAAUUCUGGGUUUUGUCCAGGGUUCCUGGCUUAGGACUCUCGUCGCCCUCAUCACAGUCUCUUGUUAUAAUGUUGGGGCGCUUUAGGCCUCAGACGCCCCAGAAAACAAUCUCCUCUGAACUUCCCCUGCCCUCCUUCACCACCUCACCAGCCCAAGGCAGGACUCUAAUCCUCCCUCAUCUUUCUGAUUGUGGGACUUAAGACCCUCUAUUCAGAAGGGGUCCUGCCCCGUUCCCGAGAGGAAGAAAUCCUGCACGGAAAGGCCAAUAACGGUCGGAAUAGGCAGGCCUUGUUGGGUGUCCACACUUACUCAGUCACUAUUAGAUCAUACCUUUUUGUUCGAUCACAUUUCUGCAUGGUCGUCAAUCGUGUCUGUCCAAUGAAGUCUCCGUAAGAAGCCCAAGAGGUCUGGGUUUGGGGGCUUCUGGAUCCCUGGACAUGUGGAGGCUGCUGGAAGACGGGGUGCCUGGGAA